GCACUUCCCCAGAGUUAUCUAUGUCAAUUAUUGUCAGUAAUAGAAAUUGGAAUACAGUCAAUGUCAAUUGUCAUUUGUAUGAAUGAAUGUAAAGCAUCAAAUUAUGAACUGCGAUUUAGGUUUCAUACAAUUUUACAAUUACUAGUUUAACUGAAAAUGAAAUGAACUGAAGUGUUAAUGUUUGCAGGUAAAUGAAAACACUGGCUGUUUUUUUGUUGUGCUUCAAUCCUAUGUAGAUUUCACGUUGAAUAACUAAAAUUCGUUUCUACAGUAUUCGGGAGAAAUGGACAUCUCGUAUAGUACUACGUUGGAAUGGGAUUUCCGCAGUGGAGUGUCUACAUUACUAGAUAUUACCAUACGCUCGAUUAUUCAAAAGUCAUGGCGUGAUGCGAUCAUUCAAAGACGUCAAUGUGGAAAAUUGGAUAAGUAUUUUAAUGGGAUGUAUGCACACAUCACGAUUGAUCCAAAGUUUCAAAACGUGAAGAUAUCUUGGAAUGAAACUAAGACGAAUAGGCAGUUCGUGAACUCCACAACAACCUUAACAUCCUUAAAUGAGAAAAUCCAAAUAAAAAUGGAGCAGUACGCUAGUAAACUUAAUGAAGAUUUUUGCGUCUGGAGAUAUCAUUGUCGUACCAUUGCACGGUAUGGCUUUACGAUCUCUAAGAAAUUGCGUGAUGUUGACAUUUUCAAUUAUUUAGAUGAUUUCAUAUAUGACUCGUAUGGAAACAUCGACUACACUGAAAUGGCCAAGAAAAUGUUGACGUGCGACAAAUUAGAAAAAGAACUGAAAUUCGCUAUCGCUUGUGAAUUUUGUUUCGAAGAUGAGAUCAGAGAGUUGUGGCCUUUAGUAGCAACGAAACCACUGCUCAACCGUUUAAAAUGGAAAAUAUGGAAUUUUUCAUCGUUAUGGUAUUGGGUUGCUAUAUUAACUAAUCAGCUUAAAAUAAUACCUAUUUGUUUUGUUAGCAUUCCUGCUACAAUGUUUAUUAAAUUUUCACACACGAAAUCAGCGAUGGAGUUCUUCUGGAAACAUAUCACCACGUUCGAUGACCAAGUAUAUUGCAUUGGUAAAUGCUUUUAUAAUUGUGAAAAUCCAAUCGGAACAGUAGUAUUGUUAAAGUACUGGAUUCCUAGAAUGAGCGAUGAAUUCCUCAAGUGCCUUAUAUCGCUACAUGGUACGCAUAUGCUGACGACCAUGUUGGCAAAAGUUCUUUGUCGCGAAUUCGUUUUGCCAUUUUGGCAGCGGACAUGCAACAUGUACAAUAGCGAUCAAUUUGCUACAAUUUUUGUAGAAUUUAGUGCUACAAAAGAUACACAUAUCAAAUCUUUGUGUGAACAAAUUUGGAAUAUCGCUUCGAUUGAAUUCAGAAAUCAUGCUUCGAAUUGUAUUGCAGCUAAAAUUAGAACUGAUCAUGAAUACUUGAGAAAGAUUCUGUUUUCAUAGAAGCGGUACCCUAUCUUGAUGAGUCGAUGCACUUAUAUAGUACAACUGAAAUAAGUUUCUGAUAUGAUAUUACCAAUUAGAUUUUUGCACUCCAUAAAAUUAAAUCCUCGAAUGUAUAUUUUUAAAUUUUAUUUAUGCAAGAAUACAUAUUUUUAAUUAUU